GGAGACCCGGCUGAAGAGGCAGCGGCGGUGUUAGCGUUGGGGGCGGGGCAGGAAAGGAUGGGUGCCUGCUCUACCUGCGCUGAGGGAGGAGGCCAGUAGAGUGGACGAAGAGAGGCACCGAGCCCCACAGGGUGAAAAGAAACCUUGGGGUGCAGGCCGGGAGUGGGGGAAAGAGCAUUGAAGAUGAAUCCAGGAGCUGUGGAAUAGGCUCAACUGCAUUGCAACACUCACCCCUAGAUACCAAGGCCUUCCUUCUCCACACAGCACACGGCAUCAUGUUAUUUCAGUCUGUUGAUUUCUUGAAUUUCCCAGAAUUACUGGACCAGAAGAUAGAAACACUUGGGUGGAAUUUCACCUCUUGCAGCUGCAACUGCUACUUCCCACAGAAUUUCCUUAUUAAACGGAGAAUUAGCAUGUGUUAAAGACAGAUUCACAUCUACUUGACUCUUUCUCUCUGAUGAAAAUAGAAAAAUUGAAAAAAAAAUUUUUAAGUGACAUCUUCGAAGAAAAAUGGGAACAACUGUUCAAAACACGGUGUGCCAGGA
ensembl:lncRNA